rnacentral:rRNA from 1 species
GAUGAACGCUGGCGGCGUGCCUAAUACAUGCAAGUCGAGCGAACAGACGAGGAGCUUGCUCCUCUGACGUUAGCGGCGGACGGGUGAGUAAAACGUGGAUAACCUACCUAUAAGACUGGGAUAACUUCGGGAAACCGGAGCUAAUACCGGAUAAUAUAUUGAACCGCAUGGUUCAAUAGUGAAAGACGGUUUUGCUGUCACUUAUAGAUGGAUCCGCGCCGCAUUAGCUAGUUGGUAAGGUAACGGCUUACCAAGGCAACGAUGCGUAGCCGACCUGAGAGGGUGAUCGGCCACACUGGAACUGAGACACGGUCCAGACUCCUACGGGAGGCAGCAGUAGGGAAUCUUCCGCGAUGGGCGAAAGCCUGACGGAGCAACGCCGCGUGAGUGAUGAAGGUCUUCGGAUCGUAAAACUCUGUUAUUAGGGAAGAACAAAUGUGUAAGUAACUAUGCACGUCUUGACGGUACCUAAUCAGAAAGCCACGGCUAACUACGUG